rnacentral:tRNA from 1 species
UGGCUCAGUUGGUAGAGCAUGGUGCUUGUAGCGCUAGGGUUGUGGGUUUGAUUCCCAU